rnacentral:rRNA from 1 species
GGUUGAUCCUGCCAGUAGUCAUAUGCUUGUCUCAAAGAUUAAGCCAUGCAUGUCUAAGUAUAAGCAUUCUUAUACUGCGAAACUGCGAACGGCUCAUUAAAUCAGUUAUAAUUUACUUGAUCGUAUUUCCCCUACAUGGAUAACCGUAGGAAUUCUAGAGCUAAUACAUGCUAAAAAUCUGGACCUCUCAUUAGGGAGGAAAGGAUGAAUUUAUUAGAUUACCAACCAACGCAGGGCAUUCAACUUGACAGAACUUGUGUCUGUCAGGGUCCUGGUCCUUUUAGGACAAUAC